CCUACGGGUCGCACCAGUGGGGAAUAUUGCACAAUGGGCGCAAGCCUGAUGCAGCCAUGCCGCGUGUAUGAAGAAGGCCUUCGGGUUGUAAAGUACUUUCAGCGGGGAGGAAGGAGUUGUGGUUAAUAACCGCAGCAAUUGACGAUACCCGCAGAAGAAGCACCGGCUAACUCCGUGCCAGCAGCCGCGGUAAUACGGAGGGUGCAAGCGUUAAUCGGAAUUACUGGGCGUAAAGCGCACGCAGGCGGUCUGUCAAGUCGGAUGUGAAAUCCCCGGGCUCCACCUGGGAACUGCAUUCGAAACUGGCAGGCUAGAGUCUUGUAGAGGGGGGUAGAAUUCCAGGUGUAGCGGUGAAAUGCGUAGAGAUCUGGAGGAAUACCGGUGGCGAAGGCGGCCCCCUGGACAAAGACUGACGCUCAGGUGCGAAAGCGUGGGGAGCAAACAGGAUUAGAUACCCCUGUAGUC
rnacentral:rRNA from 1 species